rnacentral:rRNA from 1 species
UACGGAGGGUGCGAGCGUUAAUCGGAAUUACUGGGCGUAAAGGGUGCGUAGGUGGUUACUUAAGUUAUCUGUGAAAUCCCCGGGCUCAACCUGGGCAAGCCAGAUAAGACUGAAUAACUAGAGUAUGGGAGAGGGUAGUGGAAUUUCCGGUGUAGCGGUGAAAUGCGUAGAGAUCGGAAGGAACACCGGUGGCGAAGGCGGCUACCUGGCCUAAUACUGACACUGAGGCACGAAAGCGUGGGGAGCAAACAGC